rfam:Hypholoma sublateritium FD-334 SS-4 unplaced genomic scaffold scaffold_301, whole genome shotgun sequence.
GACCUGAUAGCUCAGUGGUUAGAGCGGCCCCCUAGAUUGGGCAGGUCCUUGGUUCAAACCCAGGUCUGGUCA